CCUACGGGCGGCAGCAGUGGGGGAUAUUGCACAAUGGGGGGAACCCUGAUGCAGCGACGCCGCGUGGGUGAAGGAGUGCUUCGGCAUGUAAAGACCUAUCGGCAGGGAAGAAGCAAGACGGUACCUGACUAAGAAGCGCCGGCUAACUACGUGCCAACAGCCGCGGUAAUACGUAGGGGGCGAGCGUUAUCCGGAUUCACUGGGUGUAAAGGGAGCGUAGACGGCCAUGCAAGCCAGGGGUGGAAGCCCGGGGCCCAACCCAGGGACUGCCCUUGGAACUGCAUGGGGGGAGUGCGGGAGGGGCAGGCGGAAUUCCUGGUGUAGCGGUGAAAUGCGUAGAUAUCAGGAGGAACACCGGCGGCGAAGGCGGCCUGCUGGACCGCGACUGACGUUGAGGCUCGAAAGCGUGGGGAGCGAACAGGAUUAGAUACCCCUGUAGUC
rnacentral:rRNA from 1 species